rnacentral:rRNA from 1 species
CGUAGGGUGCGAGCGUUAAUCGGAAUUACUGGGCGUAAAGCGUGCGCAGGCGGUUUUGUAAGACAGGCGUGAAAUCCCCGGGCUCAACCUGGGAACUGCGCUUGUGACUGCAAGGCUAGAGUACGGCAGAGGGGGUGGAAUUCCACGUGUAGCAGUGAAAUGCGUAGAGAUGUGGAGGAACACCAAUGGCGAAGGCAGCCCCCUGGGUCGAUACUGACGCUCAUGCACGAAAGCGUGGGUAGCAAACAGGAUUAGAUACCCUGGUAGUCCACGCCCUAAACGAUGUCAACUAGGUGUUGGGUGGGUAAAACCAUUUAGUACCGGAGCUAACGCGUGAAGUUGACCGCCUGGGGAGUACGGCCGCAAGGCUA